GGAGUUAGCCGGUGCUUCUUCUGUGAGUGAUGUCCUUCCUGCCGGCUAUUAACCCGCAGGCCUUCUUCCUCACUGAAAGUGCUUUACAACCCGAAGGCCUUCUUCACACACGCGGCAUGGCUGGAUCAGGGUUGCCCCCAUUGUCCAAUAUUCCCCACUGCUGCCUCCCGUAGGAGUCUGGGCCGUGUCUCAGUCCCAGUGUGGCUGAUCAUCCUCUCAGACCAGCUACGGAUCGUCGCCUUGGUGAGCCGUUACCUCACCAACCAGCUAAUCCGACAUAGGCUCAUCCGAUAGCGCGAGGCCCGAAGGUCCCCCGCUUUCCCCCGUAGGGCGUAUGCGGUAUUAGCCUGGGUUUCCCCAGGUUAUCCCACACUACCGGGCAGAUUCCUAUGCAUUACUCACCCGUCCGCCGCUCGCCACCAGGGAGCAAGCUCCCCGUGCUGCCGCUCGACUUGCAUGUGUUAGGCCUGCCGCCAGCGUUCAAUCUGAGCCAUGAUCAAACUCUGA
rnacentral:rRNA from 1 species